rnacentral:rRNA from 1 species
UACGGAGGGGGCGAGCGUUAUUCGGAAUUAUUGGGCGUAAAGGGCGCGUAGGCGGCCCGGUAAGUCAAAGGUGAAAUCCCUCGGCUCAACUGAGGAACUGCCUUUGAAACUGUCGGGCUUGAGGCCGGGAGGGGGUAGCGGAAUUCCCAGUGUAGCGGUGAAAUGCGUAGAUACUGGGAGGAACACCCGUAGCGAAGGCGGCACUCUGGGCCGGUACUGACGCUGAGGAGCGAAAGCGUGGGGAGCAAACAGG